GGAUGGAACUCUGGAGAGCCCCUAGAAAGUAACUGUACUUUGCUAGGGCGCCGAAGGGGCAAGUCAACGGCGUAAGCUGCUGAUGAAACUCUCAGGCAAAAGGACAGAGCAAUCGGU
rnacentral:ncRNA from 1 species